UACCGGCAGCUCGAGUGAUGGCCGAUCUUAUUGGGCCUAAAGCGUCCGUAGCUGGCCUUGCAAGUCCGUCGGGAAAUCCACCCGCUCAACGGGUGGGCGUCCGGCGGAAACUGUGAGGCUUGGGACCGGGAGGCUUGAAGGGUACGUCCGGGGUAGGAGUGAAAUCCCGUAAUCCUGGACGGACCGCCGAUGGGGAAACCACUUCAAGAGAACGGAUCCGACAGUGAGGGACGAAAGCUAGGGUCUCGAACCGG
rnacentral:rRNA from 1 species